rnacentral:tRNA from 1 species
AUAAUAGUAGUAUAAAUAGUAUUUUUGUUUUCCAAACAAACAGUUCUUGUGAGAUUAUUAUA